UGGGGAAUUUUGCGCGAUGGGGGAAACCCUGACGCAGCAACGCCGCGUGGAGGAUGAAGUACUUCGGUACGUAAACUCCUUUCGAUCGGGACGAUAAUGACGGUACCGGAAGAAGAAGCCCCGGCUAACUUCGUGCCAGCAGCCGCGGUAAUACGAGGGGGGCAAGCGUUGUUCGGAAUUAUUGGGCGUAAAGGGUGCGUAGGCGGUUUGGUAAGUCUUUUGUGAAAUCUAUGGGCUCAACUCAUAGACUGCAAGGGAAACUGCCGGGCUUGAGUGUGGGAGAGGUGAGUGGAAUUUCCGGUGUAGCGGUGAAAUGCGUAGAUAUCGGAAGGAACACCUGUGGCGAAAGCGGCUCACUGGACCACAACUGACGCUGAUGCACGAAAGCUAGGGGAGCAAACAGGAUUAGAUACCCUGGUAGUCCUAGCCCUAAACGAUGACUGCUUGGUGUGACGGGUACCCAAUCCCGCCGUGCCGUAGCUAACGCGUUAAGCAGUCCGCCUGGGGAGUACGGUCGCAAGGCUG
rnacentral:rRNA from 1 species